AUCGAUAGUAUCGUUCGAUCCCUAAGCAGGGCCACUACUAUAUAUCUCGAGAGAGACGGCGGUAGUACAUAAGUAAACUUUUUUUUUACAGGUAUUAAUUUAAUCAGUUUUAAGUAAAUUACUGGAAAUAGAGCGUUGAACAAAAGUUCCUGAAAGGUAUCAAAUAAAAUGAGUGACGACGCAAGUGAUAACCGACAAAAUAACGGUUCAACUUCAUCAUCUACACCACCUCUACAACAAGAUAGUAAUGGCAACAUAUUGGAGAAAAUGCAACAACAUGUUCGGACAAACAAAGUCGACGUAGCUAUGUGGGCUACGCGCAUGCUGACUGUUCUCUUCACAAUAAGCUACAUUGUACCAAUAAUAAGUAAUCAGCAGAGUUCAUUCAAUAAAGUAUUGCUAUCAAAUGCAGCAACGUCAGCAUUACGCCUACAUCAGCGUUUACCCUCGUUCACAUUUUCGAGGGAGUUUUUGGCACGCCUUUUUAUUGAAGAUUCUUGCCACUACCUUAUGUUUUCGCUUAUAUUCUUUAACGUACAACCUACACUUCUAAUUCUCAUUCCAAUUGUUCUGUUCGCUGUACUGCAUGCGUCUAGUUAUUCAUUGAAAUUACUGGAUAUUAUUGGACAAAACUCAUGGUGGGGGGCAAGAUUCUUGAUUUCGCUGGUUGAGUUCCAGGCUAGCAAUAUACUGAAAGCAGCGUCAUUCGCGGAGAUUUUCAUAAUGCCUCUGGCUGUAGUAUUCACUUUCAGAAAUUUAACAUUUUCCAAGCGUGACGGGUGGGACAACGAUGACACCUGCUUCUCUGAGUGUUUGGAUUCGUUUCCAAAUUUUAGACAAACUAUAAAUAUUUCGUUUUCACAGCGGCUUUCUCGAAUGCAAAAAGCCUAUUUUAGCUUGUGACGGAUGGGACAACAUUUUGUGAUGGGUGGGACGAGUAACUAUUGAGGAAACAUAGUUCGGGACCUCUUUCGAACAAUGGGAAGCUUAAGAAUUUGUAUCUUACGUUACAAGAUUCUUUUUUUGCUGUGACUGGUGGGACAUCCAAUAUGUAUUUUUUUAACGCUUAUAACUUCUAACCAUAAAUGUAUUUUUCUUAUAACUUACCACCAUUUUAAAGUUCAUGAAAUGUUCUCUUUUAGGAUAAUUAUUCUUUGCCUUUUUACCUUUAGAAUGCCUUGAAAACUUGAUGCA
rnacentral:misc_RNA from 1 species